rnacentral:rRNA from 1 species
UGGGGAAUAUUUCACAAUGGGCGCAAGCCUGAUGCAGCAACGCCGCGUGAGGGAUGACGGCCUUCGGGUUGUAAACCUCUUUUAGUAGGGAAGAAGCGAAAGUGACGGUACCUGCAGAAAAAGCACCGGCUAACUACGUGCCAGCAGCCGCGGUAAUACGUAGGGUGCGAGCGUUGUCCGGAAUUAUUUGGCGUAAAGAGCUCGUAGGCGGUCUGUCGCGUCUGCUGUGAAAACCCGAGGCUCAACCUCGGGCCUGCAGUGGGUACGGGCAGACUAGAGUGCGGGAGGGGAGAAUGGAAUUCCUGGUGUAGCGGUGGAAUGCGCAGAUAUCAGGAGGAACACCGAUGGCGGACGCAGUUCUCUGCGCCGUAACUGGCGCUGAUGAGCGAAAGCGUGGGGAGCGAACA